AGUGAACCCUGGCGGUAGGCCUAACACAUGCAAGUCGAACGGCAGCACAGUAAGAGCUUGCUCUUACGGGUGGCGAGUGGCGGACGGGUGAGGAAUACAUCGGAAUCUACUUUUUCGUGGGGGAUAACGUAGGGAAACUUACGCUAAUACCGCAUACGACCUACGGGUGAAAGCAGGGGAUCUUCGGACCUUGCGCGAUUGAAUGAGCCGAUGUCGGAUUAGCUAGUUGGCGGGGUAAAGGCCCACCAAGGCGACGAUCCGUAGCUGGUCUGAGAGGAUGAUCAGCCAAACUGGAACUGAGACACGGUCCAGACUCCUACGGGAGGCAGCAGUGGGGAAUAUUGGACAAGGGGCGCAAGCCUGAUCCAGCCAUACCGCGUGGGUGAAGAAGGCCUUCGGGUUGUAAAGCCCUUUUGUUGGGAAAGAAAAGCAGCAGGUUAAUACCCCGCUGUUCUGACGGUACCCAAAGAAUAAGCACCGGCUAACUUCGG
rnacentral:rRNA from 1 species